GGCGCCCGCGCCCGAGUGCGGGCUCCCAGGACCGUGGACGUUGUGGGCCGAUGCGCGGUCCUGACCGUGUGGCCCGGCGGCCCGCCGGCGGCCCCGAGCUCUGACGCUGCAGACGGACAUCCUGGGGGACGCCGCGACACAGAGGAGGGUGAAGACGCCACCAAGUGCAGCCGCGGGGCUGGCCGAGCUGUGCAGUUGGUUUCCACCCUCUUCGGGAAGAGACUUUGCCGUUCACCGGCGGUUCCGCCCUGACUUUGUACUCCUCACUCACUACCCCGCGAGUGGUUCUCUGCUGGAUUGCUGAACUGCGAGUGACCAUGUUACCAAAGAAAGAACUGAGUGUUGGCGAAAGCGGAUGCCCCAGAAGGCUCAGAGGAGAGGUCAAGAGUGUGGGCCAGGAUGUGGUGUUUGUAUAAAGUAGCCCAAGCCAGUGAGUGCACUGGCCAUUCCUAUAUAGGAUUCGAACCCGCAGCGGGAGCGUCACCGUGCUCCCAGCGCCGCACUCUCCCGAGUGCGCCAGGGGUUCGGCCCUCUGAUGGCUUUUUAAGAAGAGCAAGUGAGAAGGUUAGCUCUGUCUUGCUAAUGCCAUUCUCUCACCAUGUGAUGCUCUGAGUUGCUGUGAAGAGUCACCACCCCAAAGAAAGCCCUCACCAAAUGUGUUCCCUGGACUUUGGACUUCCCAGCCUCCGAAACUGUAAGAAGUAAUUUUCAUUCCUUUAUAAAUUACCCAGUUUCAGGUAUUCUGUUAUAAGCAACAGAAAAAGACUAAUAUAACCCCCAAAACUUCCUUCUGCCUCCUUGUAAUCCUUUCCUCCACAGCCAUUGACACUUUAGAUUGGUUUCUGUUGCUAUAGACUGGUUUGCAAUGUUUUUAGAAUUUUAUAUUAAUGGAAUCAUACAGUAUGUUCUCUUUGGCUUCUUUCAGCAUAAUUAUUUUGAAAUUCACCUAUAUUGUAUCAAUAAUUUAUUGCUGAAUAGUGUUGGAGUGAGUAGGACUGAAGCCUGCUGGGAUCUAAAACUGCAGGAGCUCAAAAAGAUUUUAAGUUUCUUUUUUUUUUUCUUAGCAUAUAUUUCUCUUUUCCCAUGGUUAUUUGAUAUUUUGAACCUUGGUUAUAGGGCAAGAUGACUAUUUACAUGAAUGUAAAGUUGUUUUCCAGUCAGCCUGGAGCUGCAGACCUGCACAUACUAUCCAGACCUUGGGAAACCAAGGAAGACAUCCGUAGAGUUAUGCUGAUUCCACCCCUCCAGCAGCACCCUGAGAUAACAGCAAGGACAGGAGCAGAAACCAGAUGGAGCCUUGGGCAAAACCUUGCAUCUGGCUCCAUGCACAGAGCCCUCACAGCUCACAUGCCCCUCCCUUCUUCCUUUCAUUUCCCACAUUCCAUUCCCUCAACCCCUUCUUUACAAACCCCUCAGUAAAUCUGAGUCUUUAAGGUGGAUUUAAUCUGGCUAUUCUCCUGAUUUACUGGAGAGAUGGGUUAGGUCACUGGUAUUCCUGAAUAAAGGCUGACUUCCA